rnacentral:lncRNA from 10 species
AAAUUAGCCAGGCAUGGUGGCGCACACCUGUGCCAGCUACUCGAGGCUGAGGCAGGAGAAUUGCUUGAACCUGAGAGGCAGAAGUUGCAGUGAGUGGAGAUUGCACCACCGCACUCCAGCCUGGGUGACAGAGCAAGACUCCAUCUCAAAAAAAGAAAAGAAACACAGUAAUAGUAGAAACUUAAAUUGGCAGGAAUCAAAAUGUAAAACAAAAAUUAGUCUUCUACAUUUGAGUUGUGAGUAAAUCCUAUGAAUCGCAUCCAUCCUGAGAGGAAAAAGGUGUGAUGCAAGUAAUUACGGCAGCAGGCUUUCAUAAUGAGGAUAAACCUGGCCUAGGAACAAGCAACGAACUAGUUCUGGUCUUUACUGGCAUUUGCAUUAAGUUAAAGCUAACCUGAAAAGUCUCAGUUCCUACUCAGACAUCCGGAGAAACUUUUCUCUUUGCAUACAGAUGGCCUCUACUACACAUAUCUUCUAAAUCAUAGUGCAUGUCUUCACCCAGAAAGGAGUGGAACACAAACCACCUAGACUCAAAAGGCAAUGUGACUUUAGUGUUACACAGUUGAAGAUUUUGUUUUAUUUAUCGGAAACAGACUGUAAAAAGUUUUUUUUUUUAAUGGCAAUUUGUAGAAAGCUUAAUCUACACAGCAUGCUUCAUUUUUUGUGGUCUUGGGGUACUAAAUGGAGAGAAAAAGAACAUCUUUCAUACGCCUGAACUCCUUUACCUAUGUAUGUAAUUGUCAUCAGCUUUAAAAGCAAUUCCAUUGUUAAGUGGUCUUUCAAACCCUGAUUCUACCAUGAUACUGCUUAUGUCUGUCAAAACCCUUUGCAGUUGAUUUGUUGAUGGCCUGAGAAGAUUAGCACUGGAUCAGUUAUGGGCAAUUAAAGAGUUAAGUAUCUGCUAUUGAGUGACAGAUGAAGUGAUUGCACAUUGGCAGUAGAGCAAAGGGGUUGUGUAGAUGUGCUAAAGAUACUGCAAUAUCUUAUUUAGAUUAUUUUUAACCCCAGAGUCCAGCUAACCUUUAUUUGUAAAUAAUGGUGCCCAACUUCAUCUGGUGCGUACCUGUGCCUACAACUUUGUCCCCAUUCAGUUUUUAGCAGCAAUAUGCAGAGGAGGGGACACUUGGCUGAAGUUUAAGAAUUUUAGUUCUGUGAGUUGAUUGGUUUUCUCCCAUCUAUUUUCUAUUUUAUGUUUCUCAAAUUGCUCUGCUUUCACCAGGUAUGGUGGGGUGGAGGAUUCUCAGCUCUAUUCCAAGCCUUCUGUCUUCCACUUAGGCAAUUUUAAACUUCUGAGCCAAGGUUGCAACAAUAUGUUUUAUCGCUAAGAAUGUUCUUUUUUCCCUUCAUCACUUUGGUCCCCUUUCCUCCAGCUCUGGACAAUCUAAAUUGUCUUGUUUUUGUUUUGAGACAGGGUCUCACUCUUGGCUCACUGUAACCUCUGCCUCUCGGGUUCAAG